rnacentral:rRNA from 1 species
GAACGCUGGCGGCGUGCUUAACACAUGCAAGUCGAGCGGAAAGGCCCUUCGGGGUACUCGAGCGGCGAACGGGUGAGUAACACGUGAGUAACCUGCCCUCAACUUCGGGAUAAGCCUGGGAAACCGGGUCUAAUACCGGGUAGGACCUUCGGUGGCAUCGCUGGGGGUGGAAAGUUUUUUCGGUUGGGGAUGGGCUCGCGGCCUAUCAGCUUGUUGGUGGGGUAGUGGCCUACCAAGGCGACGACGGGUAGCCGGCCUGAGAGGGCGACCGGCCACACUGGGACUGAGACACGGCCCAGACUCCUACGGGAGGCAGCAGUGGGGAAUAUUGCGCAAUGGGCGGAAGCCUGACGCAGCGACGCCGCGUGGGGGAUGACGGCCUUCGGGUUGUAAACCUCUUUCAGCAGGGACGAAAUAAGACGUGUACCUGUAGAAGAAGCGCCGGCUAACUACGUGCCAGCAGCCGCGGUAAUACGUAGGGCGCGAGCGUUGUCCGGAAUUAUUGGGCGUAAAGAGCUCGUAGGUGGCUU